CCGGGCUCAAACGACACAGGAAUGGAUCUGAAAGGGUCCAGCCCUCCGGGGUCUGUGUCGAGGUGCUGCAUGGUUGUCGUCAGCUCGUGCCGUGAGGUGUCGGCUUAAGUGCCAUAACGAGCGCAACCCCUAUCGACAGUUGCUAACAGGCAAAGCUGAGGACUCUGUCGAGACUGCCGGCGCAAGCUGUGAGGAAGGCGGGGAUGACGUCAAAUCAGCACGGCCCUUACGUCCGGGGCGACACACGUGUUACAAUGGCAGGUACAGCGGGAAGCCACCUGGCGACAGGGAGCGGAACCCGAAAACCUGUCUCAGUUCGGAUUGGAGUCUGCAACCCGACUCCAUGAAGCUGGAUUCGCUAGUAAUCGCGCAUCAGCCACGGCGCGGUGAAUACGUUCCC
rnacentral:rRNA from 1 species